UCACCGUUUAUUUAUUUACAGAAUCAUAGCCGCGCGAAGGGUUCUGGAGGAGCUGCAGCGCCCUGGUUAAUUUCAUUGUUUACUGCGUGUGCAGAGUGUGGCGCUUCCCAUUGCUGCGCGCACCAAGGCCUACUAAUAUUAUGCUUUUCACAGUAGCCUAGACAGUCCAAGCGCAUAUACAAGUCACGAGAAGGCGAGUCCGAUUCAUCAAUGGUCGAGAAAGCGAAUCCAAGUCUGAGUCACCAAUGCUUCCGUCCAAGUCCACUCACAAGUCAUGAAAAUCGGGACUGGAGUGGGCUCGACAAUACUGGCUAUUUCUCUCUGUUUUUCCUGGAUCUCACCGACGACAUCAGCCUGGCUCCUCUCAAUGGAGCGCAACAGCGCAGUGAAGACCUGCUCACUUUCCUCUGUCUUUCUGUGAACUAGCCUGUGGAAUGAAGUGAACUAGAUUCAGACAAAUGAAUGUGCUCUAAAAUAUUACCUAUAGUGAAUCUGUGUCACAGGUGUUACUUUUUUAAAUUAUAUUUGAUAUACAAACUAUAACAAGUAGUCACCCAAGCAACAGGAUUGUAUUGACAUGUUGAUACAUAAUAAUGCAGAAAUUGCCUUGAAAAGGAGUUUAGUGUUUUAGGCCUUCCUUAAUUAUUCAACUUUUUGCAGUAGACAACGACACCAAAAGGUCUGGCUGUUUAUCUGCACAAAUUCUUUAUUUGUAACAGUGUCAUUUAUGUAUUUUUAAAAUGGAGGAGAUGGACACUUUCACUUAGUCAUCAUACACUUUUCCCUCAGGGCAAUACAAAUAUAUCUUGAAGGCACAGUGUGUGCUCAAGUGUGGGCCAUACUGAAAUUAAGUUUAUUCGUGAUUGAUAGUGUAAAUUAAAGAAACCUUCUGAGAUUUCAUCUAUUUUAUACGUGUUUUGUUUGCAAUUUGUAAUAUUAUAUACAAAAUUUCUCAUUUGUGAGCUUUAUUUCAAUUCCAUAAAAAGUAUUUUGCUCAAAUUACAGUGGGGGUCUAAAAAUUAAAAUGCUUAUUAUCAAGUAGCCUACGCAUAAAAAUGUGUAAUGAUCAAUCAUAAACAAAUCAAUUCAAAGUUUAUUUGUCACGUGCGCCGAAUACAACAGGUGUAGACCUUACAGUGAAAUGCUUACUUACAGGCUCUAACCAAUAGUGCAAAAAAAGGUAUUAGGUGAACAAUAGGUAGGUAAAGAAAUAAAACAACAGUAAAAUGACAGGCUAUAUACAGUAGCGAGGCUAUAAAAGUAGCGAGGCUACAUACAGACACCGGUUAGUCAGGCUGAUUGAGGUAGUAUGUACAUGUAGAUAUGGUUAAAGUGACUAUGCAUAUAUGAUGAACAGAGAGUAGCAGUGGCGUAAAAGAGGGGUUGGGAGUGAUGGGAGUGAUGUGUUUGUAGCAUUAAAAUAACAAUUGUCUCAUUUGUUAGUUUUCCUUGAAGACUUUUAGAAGGUUUAUAUUAUAAAAAAAAUUAAAAA
rnacentral:lncRNA from 1 species